UACGUAGGGUGCGAGCGUUGUCCGGAAUUAUUGGGCGUAAAGAGCUCGUAGGCGGUCCGUCACGUCGGCUGUGAAAACCCGGGGCUCAACUCCGGGCCUGCAGUCGAUACGGGCGGACUAGAGUACUGCAGGGGAGACUGGAAUUCCUGGUGUAGCGGUGAAAUGCGCAGAUAUCAGGAGAACACCCGGUGGCGAAGGCGGAUCU
rnacentral:rRNA from 1 species